rnacentral:rRNA from 1 species
GCUGGCGGUAGGCUUACACAUGCAAGUCGAGCGGUAACAGGCAUUUUGAUUCAGCUUGCUGAAUCUCGCGCUGACGAGCGGCGGACGGGUGAGUAACGCGUAGGAAUCUACCUAGUAGAAGGGGAUAGCCCGGGGAAACUCGGAUUAAUACCGUAUACGUCCUUAGGGAGAAAGAGGGCUUAGCUUUGAUGCUCUCGCUAUUAGAUGAGCCUGCGUAAGAUUAGCUUGUUGGUGAGGUAAAGGCUCACCAAGGCUACGAUCUUUAGCUGGUCUGAGAGGACGAUCAGCCACAUUGGGACUGAGACACGGCCCAGACUCCUACGGGAGGCAGCAGUGGGGAAUAUUGGACAAUGGGCGCAAGCCUGAUCCAGCCAUACCGCGUGUGUGAAGAAGGCCUUCGGGUUGUAAAGCACUUUAAGUAAGGAAGAAAAGUAUAUUGUUAAUACCAAUGUACCGUGACAUUACUUACAGAAUAAGGACCGGCUAAU